UGUUUAUACGGGUACUUAAUAUUCAAAUCGUUUGUGAUAUAGCCCCGCCCCUUGCCAUAUAAAUAGGACCCGGUCUCUCCUCAGCGCCAUAUUGAGAGCUGAGCACCAGAGGAGGUUGGUUUGUACAAACGACAAAAUGUCUGACGAAGGAAAGCUUUUUAUUGGCGGUCUGAGCUUCGACACCACGGAGCAGUCCCUCGAGGACGCCUUCUCCAAAUAUGGCGUCAUCACCAACGUUCACGUUGCCAGAAACAGAGAAACAAACCGGUCGAGGGGCUUUGGCUUUGUCACAUUUGAGAACCCUGAAGAUGCAAAAGAUGCCAUGGAGGGAAUGAAUGGAAAAUCUGUGGACGGCAGGGCGAUCAGAGUUGACGAAGCUGGAAAGGGUGGCAGUGGCCGCUCUGGAGGUGGUGGAUACAGAGGUGGCAGUGGAGGAGGAAGAGGGGGCGGAUACUUCCGUGGAGGUAGAGGAAGAGGUGGUGGCAGCUAUGGCGGUGGCGAUCGUAGCUAUAGCGGUGGCGAUCGUAGCUACGGUAGCACUGAUCGUGGUUAUGGUGGUGAUCGGGGAUAUAGUGGUGGCUACAAGAGUGGGGGUGGCGGCGGCGGUGGAGGAUAUAAUAGAGACAGGUAAGAAAGGAGUUCCAGCUAUGGAGACCGUGGCAACUCCUACAGAGACAACUAUGAUGGAUAUAGUGCUGCACACGAUUAAGGCCCAAGACCCAACUCUUCACUGGCUGUGUAUUCUAAAGACGUGCUCCUCAAGGAUCUAUCCAUUCAUGUAGUAGCUUUCUUUGUUUAAAAAAAAAAAAAAAACAGCUGAAAUGUGGGACAGGGAGUUCUUCAUGUUGGCUGUGAAAUGUUUCUCUGCUACCACAAUGGUUAUUUGGGUUUUUUUUGCAUAAUUUUCUUUUUCUUUUUUAUACUUCUGAAUAAUGAGCCUCAUGUAAAAUCUUAUUCCUCUUGGUCUGUUCUGGCAGGCUGCCACAGUAUUGCUAUCCACUAGCAAAUUUUCCAUUUUAAUGGAGGUCCUUUAUUUUAUAUUUUGGGUUGCCCUGUUUUAGUGAACAACUACCUCUUUAAAAGGACCUUUUAAAGCAGCUGUGGAAGUUUCAAAGCUAAAAGUUGUAGUAAUACAAUAAAAUUAUCAAUUUGAGCGACCUCUCCAUUUGAAACACCAUUAAUUUGAUAAAGUAGA